AGUAUUUUAAGAAAUCUCUCGUAAUAAACUACUACAUUGUGUGCGUGUUUUCCUAAAAAAUUUUCUGUGACCAAUCGGUUAAGUGCAUUAAUAUUUAUUAAAACACGAUUUGAUAUCAAAAUUGAAUGUAACAGAAAAUGUGUUGAAAUCUGAAGAAAAAGUGUGUUCUGUGGCGGAAAGGUUUGCGUCGUGAAGUUGAAGUUAUACCACAAUAGCGUUGAUUUUUAUUUCUUUGUGGGAGGAGCGCAAAUCCAGCGAUAUCUCCAAAAAAGGCAAACCAGAAAUAAAUCAUUGAAUAGGAACUUGAUGUGUUGACAUUUAUGCUUAAAAUUUUAUAUAUGUAUAUAAUUAUUGUACUUGUACCGGAAAAUAUAAACAGCAUAUUACACAGCAGCGAUAAUGCCAACGAAGAGUUUUUAUGAAAUUUUAAACUCCAAACCAACAGCGAGUUUCGAAGAGCUGCGCCGCAAUUAUAAACAAUUGAUUCUACAAUGUCAUCCCGAUAAAUUACAACAUAUACAUAACACAGAUACCGAAACAAAAAGAAAUACAGCAAGUGCUAAUGGUGAUAAUGCCACAACCAUUACUAAUAUUGCGGCGGUCAAUACGCCUGCUGCUGUUGACCUAAAUGCCGAAAUCUCAAUUUCGACAUCUUCAGAUCAAAACAGUGAAGAAUUUGUAGCCAUAAAUGAAGCUUGGAAUACGCUCAAAGACCCUGUGAAACGAAGACACUACGAUGCCGAAUUGCUGUUGAGAAAAUUCCAAACGCACAGUAAUAUCUUUGCGCGGUUAACGCUUGACGAUAUGAAACGCUGUGCCGCCAUCGCAACAACAAAUAGUGGAAGUGACAGUGGCAGUGACAGUGAUAGUGAAGUUGCAUGCGAAGACGGGAUGGAGGGCAAGUCUAUUGCGGGUGACAUGUAUUGGUACUAUACAUAUAAUUGCCGAUGUGGCGGUCAGUAUAUUAUUGAUGAGUCAGUGGACAGUGAAAUACUCAACCGCAACCAGAAGCGUACGGCCAACAGGCAUAGUGCCAGUAAAACGUCGGAAGAGCAAAAACUGACUCAACAACAAAAACAAAAUAACUCCGAUAAGAAUAUUCAAGCAGCUGCUGACAGUGGCGCAGAAAAUGCGUCUACAUCGAAAUGUGGCAACAACAGUAAAAGUGUAGGAGCUGGUGAUUAUGAAGACAAACAGGGCCCUGCUGCCGCUAAUCGCGAUGUCGACGACGGCGCCGUCGACGAUGAAGAUGGCGAGGUGCUUGUCGAAUGUAGUGAAUGUUCUUUGGUGAUCGUAUUGACUUGAACGCACGAAAUGUGUGCUGUCACGGAUUGGCUGAUGAAACAAUGCGACACAACAAAUAAGUAAAUAAUUCAAUUAAAUCCCAUAUACAUAUAUACCUAUUUCGUAUACACCCACUUUACCGGAAAACAAAUAGACGUCACCGUGGCUAAGGGAAAUCGAAAAUCGUACAGCUCCACCACCGCUGCCAUCACUAGUAAAGCCCGCAAA
rnacentral:misc_RNA from 1 species